GACGAACGCUGGCGGCGUGCUUAACACAUGAAAGUCGAACGGAAAGGCCCUGCUUUUGUGGGGUGCUCGAGUGGCGAACGGGUGAGUAUCACGUGAGUAACCUGCCCUUGACUUUGGGCAAACUUCAGGAAACUGGGGCUAAUAGCGGAUAGGGGUUCCUGCUGCAUGGUGGGGGUUGGAUAGUUUCGGCGGUUGGGGAUGGACUCGCGGCUUAUCAGCUUGUUGGUGGGGUAGUGGCUUACCAAGGCUGUGACGGGUAGCCGGCCGGAGAGGGUGAGCGGCCACAUUGGGACUGAGAUACGGCCCAGACUCCUACGGGAGGCAGCAGUGGGGAAUAUUGCACAAUGGGCGGAAGCCUGAUGCAGCAACGCCGCGUGCGUGAUGACGGCUUUCGGGUUGUAAACCGCUUUCGCCUGUGACGAAGCGUGAGUGACGGUAAUGGGUAAAGAAGCACCGGCUAACUACGUG
rnacentral:rRNA from 1 species